GAUGAACGCUAGCUACAGGUUUAACACAUGCAAGUCGAGGGGUAACGAGAGGAAAGCUUGCUUUCCUUGUCGACGACCGGCGCACGGGUGAGUAACGCGUAUCCAACCUGCCCCCAACUAGGGAAUAACCUUGCGAAAGUAAGACUAAUACCCUAUAAUUUCCUCAGAUGACAUCUGACGAGGAAUAAAGAUUUAUCGGUUGUGGAUGGGGAUGCGUCUGAUUAGCUUGUUGGCGGGGUAACGGCCACCAAGGCAACGAUCAGUAGGGGUUCUGAGAGGAAGGUCCCCCACAUUGGAACUGAGACACGGUCCAAACUCCUACGGGAGGCAGCAGUGAGGAAUAUUGGUCAAUGGGCGGAAGCCUGAACCAGCCAAGUAGCGUGCAGGAUGACGGCCCUAUGGGUUGUAAACUGCUUUUAUACAGGAAUAAAGUUAGCCACGUGUGGUUAUUUGUAGGUACUGUAUGAAUAAGGACCGGCUAAUUCCGUGCCAGCCGCCGCCGUAA
rnacentral:rRNA from 1 species